rnacentral:pre_miRNA from 9 species
UGUCGAUAGCGUUAAAUUUAACUCAAAUUUGUAUGGAGUCGGAACAUUUGCCUACGUUUACCGCAAGGGGCGCUGUUCCAAUUGUAUACAAAUAUGAGUUAGCUUUUACGCUAUCGA